UACACACCGCCCGUCACACCAUGGGAGUUGGGUUUACCCGAAGGUGGUGCGCUAACCCGCAGGGGAGGCAGCCAACCACGGCAGGCUCAGCGACUGGGGUG
rnacentral:rRNA from 1 species